GGCCUUGUGGCCCAAUGGUCAAGGCGCCUGACUACGACUUUCACUCUGUGAAAUAGCCUAUCAGGAGAUUGCAGGUUCGAAUCCUGCCAAGGUCA
rnacentral:tRNA from 1 species